GACGAACGCUGGCGGCGUGCUUAACACGUGCAAGUCGAACGAUGAAGAAAAGAAUUGAAGCUUCGGCAGAAAUUCAUUUCGGAUUAGUGGCAGACGGGUGAGUAACGCGUGAGCAACCUACCUCUUACAAAGGGAUAGCCUCGGGAAACCGGGAUUAAUACCAUAUAACAUUGCGACGAAGCAUUUCGAUGCAAUCAAAGCUACGGCGGUAAGAGAUGGGCUCGCGUCCCAUUAACCAGAUGGUGAGGUAACGGCUCACCAUAGUAACGAUGGGUAACCGGCCUGAGAGGGUGAACGGUCACACUGGAACUGAGACACGGUCCAGACUCCUACGGGAGGCAGCAGUGGGGAAUAUUGCACAAUGGAGGGAACUCUGAUGCAGCGACGCCGCGUGAGUGAUGAAGGAAUUCGUUUCGUAAAACUCUGUUCUAUGGGAAGAAAAGGACUGUACCAUAGGAGAAAGCUCCGGCUAAAUACGUG
rnacentral:rRNA from 1 species